CACGUAGGGCGCAAGCGUUGUCCGGAAUUAUUGGGCGUAAAGAGCUCGUAGGCGGUCUGUUACGUCUGCUGUGAAAACCCAGGGCUUAACCCUGGGCUUGCAGUGGAUACGGGCAGACUAGAGGCAGGUAGGGGGGAAUGGAAUUCCCGGUGUAGCGGUGAAAUGCGCAGAUAUCGGGAGGAACACCGGUGGCGAAGGCGGUUCUCUGGGCCUGACCUGACGCUGAGGAGCGAAGGCCAGGGGAGCAAACGGG
rnacentral:rRNA from 1 species